rnacentral:rRNA from 1 species
GACGAACGCUGGCGGCGUGCUUAACACAUGCAAGUCGUACGGAAAGGCCCUUUCGGGGGUUCACGAGUGGCAAACGGUUAUGUAAGACGGGCGUAACCGUGCCUAAACUUUGGGAUACCGCUCUGAAACUGGUGCUAAUCAUCUGUAUGCGCCUCUGCAGCAUGGUGGAGGUUGGAAAGCUGCGUCCGUUGUGGAUGGACUCGCGGCCUAUCAGCGUGUUGGUGGGGUAGUGGCCUACCAAGGCGGCGACGGGAGGCCAGCCUGCGAGGGUGACGGGCCACAGUGGGACUGAGAUACGGCCCAGACUCCUACCGGAGGCAGCAGUGGGGAAUAUUGAACAAUGGGCGCAAGACGGAUGCAGCAACGCCGCGUGCGGGAUGACGGCCUUCGGGUUGUAAACCGCUUUCAGCAGGGACGAAGCUUUUUGUGACGGUACCUGCAGAAGAAGCACCGGCUAACUACGUG